rnacentral:tRNA from 1 species
ACCGCGGUAGCUCAGCUGGUAGAGCAUCUGCUUGGUAUGAGGAGGGUCGCCGGUUCGACUCCGGCUCGCGGCG